ACUGAACUCUGGAACUUAGUUGCUGAGAGGGAGGAAGGAAGAUCGAAGGGAUGUGGCCUUGUGGAUUGUCUGGAAGAUGCCUACUAGAGUUGGCAGCUGUUUCCCUUGUUCUGCUAUGCUGGUGUGUUCACAGUGAAUGUCUGUUGGUGUUGGAGGCUGGAAUGGUGUAGCCUGUGGGUGAGCAGGGAGAACCCACUGGAGUUCCGGUUUGGGAAAAAAACAACAAAUGGGCUGAAUGAGGUUAGAAAGGGAAGAUAUGUGUGAUCCACAGGAGACAGUGGUGAGACAGCAGCUGUGGCUGGCAUGGGAGGGUGUUCUGCUGUGGAGAUGGAGAUGAAUCUGGAGGAUUGGAUCUGGGGAAAACAGAAAGGAGAAUGCCUACAAUCAGACAUCCCAGUUCUUCUGGCUGGUUAUUUCUUGACAUUGUCUUUUCCCAAACUACCAUCAGAAACUAGAUGAAAAUACCGGUUAGCUAAAGGUCUGGAAAUUCAAGUGCCAUGUGCCAAAGUUCUGAUGCCAAUAUGUGCAGCUAAACUUGACUCUGCAUCCUGGUCCGCAGAGAGGAAUCAUGAAAUAUGUGCAGUGUUUUGUAAGCUGAGUUGCUUCAUAUUUGAAAUGCAGCCAUAAAAGCGUCUUUAAAGAGAUUUUUAAAAACAAAAACUGAAAGUGCUUUUCCCUCUUGGUUUUAUGCUAUGUCAAGGGAUCGUUUCAUUUGUGAUUGCUGAGUAUUGCUCCAAUCAUGAGCAGGAAUAAAUGCUUAAAAAAAGGAACAAGUAGCAAGUGUCACAUGAGAGCAGUUUCUCUGGAAUCUCUCAUCACAAUUUUUAUUCUUUUAGGGUCACAGACACUGGGCCCUACCUUUGUUUUCAGGGGUUAUUGAUCACACAGCCUGGGGCUCCAAUGGAAACCAGAUUUGACUAAAAUAACAGUGGCAUUACCUGUAAUGGUAGAAGUUUUUAAAAAGUAGUGUUUUUUUUUUAUUAAAGAUAUUCUAUGCCAGGCCAUGGCAAUUAUUACUAUGUUUAUUUUACCCUUGAGAAAAAUGUAACCAAAUUAACCUAAGUAAUGUCUUAGAAAUUGCUCAUAUCUGAGUGCUGCUUUGUUCCGGAUAUUCAUUGUAUCCUUCAAUAACUUCUUCCAUUCUUUGCUGUGUUGAGACUGACUUCGAAGAAAAGUCAAAUUUCAAUCUUGCACACUAAAUUCAGAACUCUAUUGAAAACAAAUGUGACCAUUUACUAGAAUAACAGUCUGGUAUUAUUUUUUCCAUAUGUAUUUUCCUCUCUAAUUUUCUCCUAUUCUUAUAUCCCUAAAGCACUGAGUUUGCUUUGCCUGACUUUAUUAAUCAUAUAAAAAGACUGCCAGGGUUACUAGAAAUGAAAACUUGGAAAGGUGCACAGGUGGUUGAGACAAUGCCAGAAAGGUAACAAUAAUAUAUGGUUGGCCCCCAAACUGGAAUAAUUUACUUUUUUGUUGGGAAGGCAUCUAUGAAAUACCAUUAUGUUCAUUUAAGAAAACAGUGAAAUAUACAGUAGAGAAAAAAUAAAUUGUCCUCUUUGAGUCACUUUUAUCUAUAGAGACAUGUCUUCAAAGAAAAAUACGUUAAGGGAAUUUUUAUAUUAAACACCAGCUCCUAAGAAUUGGUCUUCUCAAAGUUUAAUUUUCAUCUCCUGCUCCUGUCUUAAGGUUCCCUCUCCUCUUCCUCUUCCUGUUCUUCUCUUCCACUUUCUACUUCUUUUCCCCCUCUACUUUGUCUUUUUUGACCACGCCUCAUGGAGCUCAGACUGCUCCCCAAUUUAUGUACUAUAAAGCCAACAAAAAUGACUUUGAACUUCAGCUCUUUCUGUCUCUACCUCUAGAGAAUACAUUGUUCCAGUUACUAGUUUUUGUGGUAGUAAGGAUCAAAUUCAUGAAAGAUGAUUCAACCAACUGACCCAAAUCCCCAGGUCUGAAGACUGAUUUUCCUUCUUAGAGUUACUCUGCUUCAAGACCAGAAAUGUUUACAGAACUCUCCUUAUUUUCACAUGAUAUUGAAUGUUAGGUGGGGUUUAGUAAGUUAUGAGUCUUUGCUAAAUAAUUUGUUGUGCUUAACAGUAUGUCUGCAUGACAAAAAUAUAUUCUGUAUGUCUGAGAAAAUCUUCAAAAGUGAAGAUUCCAGAAAAUAAACAAAAAGAACAAUUUGGACAUUAACAUCUCACUUCUAGGCAGAUAAUUUCUUCCACCCCCAAAAGAAAAGAACUCAUCUCUGCAUUUCCUGAAGGGUCUCCUUUUCAUGAGAAUUUCACUUUAAUAAAAAGUGUAUCACUCCCCAAAUGUGACUUUUUUUUCAGUUUGUGCAAAUUGACAUUCUUCCAAGCUACCCAUGAUGUCUACUUUUGCUUCACUUCUUGCCUCUUAUGGUUCUACUCUGCUCAAGAAUAUCAAUGCUAAAGACAUCAGUCUGGCUUCAACCAAGUACUAACCUGAUCCUUUAAUUCAUUUGUUAUUUUCGUAUAAUUUAGCUAGCUUGAGAUUAAAAUGUAACCUAGACUGCCCUUGAACUAAUUUUUAGCUCUCUAAUUCAUGGUACUAUUCCAUAUUGCUAUCCCAUUAAAUAAAAUGCUAACUCAUCUAGCAAAUUUUAGCAGUCAAUAUCUCUGUAGGAAAGGAUAUGGCAUCAAGGACAUGCCCUCUACCUGUGAU